UAUGGCCAUAUCAUGUUAAAGCACCAGUUUCUGUAUGAAUACUGAAGUUAAGCAAUGUUGAGCCUGAUCAGUACCUAGAUAGGUGACCACCUGAGAAUACCAGGU